rnacentral:rRNA from 1 species
UACGUAGGGGGCAAGCGUUGUCCGGAUUUAUUGGGCGUAAAGAGCGUGUAGGCGGCCAUACAGGUCAGCUGUGAAAACUCGAGGCUCAACCUCGAGACGUCGGUUGAAACCGUAUGGCUAGAGUCCGGAAGAGGAGAGUGGAAUUCCCGGUGUAGCGGUGAAAUGCGCAGAUAUCGGGAAGAACACCUAUGGCGAAGGCAGCUCUCUGGGCUGAUACUGACGCUCAUGCACGAAAGCGUGGGGAGCAAACAGG